GCCCGCCGCGCGCUCGCUCACGGCGGGGCCGCAGCGGGUGGGGGCUCGGCCCGAGGCCGCCCCCGCGUGCGCGCCGCGUGCGCCUUCGGGAAGCUUCGGUGCCCGCCCUCGGCGCCCCGGCGCCCUGCGGGUCUGUGCUGGCAGAGGCCCGAGAGCCGCGUCCCGGGCGGCGGGAGAGCCGCCUGUCGCGUCUGGUGAGGAGGAGCGGUGUCCCCGACAGGUGAGGAGUACAGAAGAGGAGACCAUCAUCUUGUCCGGGAGGGGCUCUCAGCAGAGGCCUGUCCUCUGCCCCAAGUGAGGAGUACAGAAGAGGAGACAUCAUGUUGUCCUGGAGGGGCUCUCAGCAGAGUCUCUCGUCACUGUGAUGGCCCUGCAGAUGGCCAUAAUUAUCCUCAUUGUAUGGACAAGGAAGUCAAGCCCCAGCACCAUGUGAUGUAUUUCAAAUACAAUCGACCAGCAUAUGCAGGAGUGGAGACUCCAGAACAUACACCUGAUUCACUCCUCUCCUGGAAACACAAUCAGAAGACCUAAGAAUGGAAUCCUUUUCAUUUUCCCAAGGUGGAGGUCUGAUGUAAAGAGAGCCCUAUAGACUAUCCUAGAGUCUAGGGGUCAGAGAAAUGUGGUAAGAAUUCAGAUCUAGGGAUGCCUGGGUGGCUCAGUCGGUUAAGCGGCUGCCUUUGGCUCAGGUCAUGAUCCCAGGGUCCUGGGAUCGAGUUCCACAUUGGGCUCCUUGCUCAGCGGGGAGCCUGCGUCUCCCUCUGCCUCUGCCUCUCCCCCUGCUUGUGCUCUGUCUCUCUCUGAC
rnacentral:lncRNA from 1 species